rnacentral:tRNA from 1 species
AGUGGGAUAGGUUAUGUUGACUAUAUGUUUUCAAAACAUAAGGUGAUUUUUAUUAUCUCUCGCUG